AUACGGAGGGUGCAAGCGUUGUUCGGAAUUACUGGGCGUAAAGCGCGCGUAGGCGGUCUGUUAUGUCAGAUGUGAAAGUCCUCGGCUCAACCGGGGAAGUGCAUUUGAAACUGGCAGACUUGAGUACUGGAGGGGGUGGUGGAAUUCCCGGUGUAGAGGUGAAAUUCGUAGAUAUCGGGAGGAAUACCGGUGGCGAAGGCGACCACCUGGCCAGAUACUGACGCUGAGGUGCGAAAGCGUGGGGAGCGAACAGGAUUAGAAACCCUAGUAGUCC
rnacentral:rRNA from 1 species